rnacentral:rRNA from 1 species
GUGCCAGCAGCCGCGGUAAUACGGAGGGUGCGAGCGUUGUCCGGAAUCACUGGGCGUAAAGGGCGCGUAGGCGGCGCGGGUAGUCAACGGUGAAAGUUCAGGGCUCAACCCUGAAUCGGCCGUCGAUACUCCCGUGCUCGAGCACUGUAGAGGCAGGUGGAAUUCCGGGUGUAGCGGUGGAAUGCGUAGAGAUCCGGAAGAACACCGGUGGCGAAGGCGGCCUGCUGGGCAGUAGCUGACGCUGAUGCGCGAAAGCGUGGGGAGCAAACAGGAUUAGAUACCCGCGUAGUCC